UACGGGGGGUGCAAACGUUGCUCGGAAUUAUUGGGCGUAAAGAGCACGUAGGCGGUCUUGUAAGUCGGGUGUGAAAGCCCGGGGCUUAACCCCGGAAGUGCACUCGAAACUGCAAGGCUUGAGUAUGGAAGAGGGUCUCGGAAUUCCCGGUGUAGAGGUGAAAUUCGUAGAUAUCGGGAGGAACACCAGUGGCGAAGGCGGAGACCUGGGCCAAUACUGACGCUGAGGUGCGAAAGCGUGGGGAGCAAACAGG
rnacentral:rRNA from 1 species